AUUGAACGCUGGCGGCAGGCCUAACACAUGCAAGUCGAGCGGAUGAAGGGAGCUUGCGCCUGGAUUCAGCGGCGGACGGGUGAGUAAUGCCUAGGAAUCUGCCUGGUAGUGGUGGAUAACGUCCGGAAACGGGCGCUAAUACCGCAUACGUCCUGAGGGAGAAAGUGGGGGAUCUUCGGACCGCACGCUAUCAGAUGAGCCUAGGUCGGAUUAGCUAGUUGGUGGGGUAAAGGCCUACUAAGGCGACGAUCCGUAACUGGUCUGAGAGGCUGAUCAGUCACACUGGAACUGAACCACGGUCAAGACUACUAAGGGACGGAGCAGUGGGGAAUAUUGGACAACGGGCGAAAGUAUGAUACAGCGAUGCCGCGUGUGUGACGAAGAUGUUCGGUGUGUAAUGACGGUUAAGUUGGGAUAAACCGCAGUCAGUUGUUACGUAGCUGUUUUGACGUUAACAACAGAAUAAGCACCGGCUAACUUCGUG
rnacentral:rRNA from 1 species